GACGAACGCUGGCGGCGUGCUUAACACAUGCAAGUCGAACGGUGAAGCGCCUUCCUUUUUGGUGGGUGUGGAUGAGUGGCGAACGGGUGAGUAACACGUGAGUAACCUGCCCCCUUCUUCUGGAUAACCGCAUGAAAGUGUGGCUAAUACGGGAUAUUCUGGGUCUGUCGCAUGAUGGGUCUGGGAAAGAUAUUGUUUCGGUGGGGGAUGGGCUCGCGGCCUAUCAGCUUGUUGGUGGGGUGAUGGCCUACCAAGGCGGUGACGGGUAGCCGGCCUGAGAGGGUGGACGGUCACACUGGGACUGAGACACGGCCCAGACUCCCACGGGAGGCAGCAGUGGGGAAUAUUGCACAAUGGGCGCAAGCCUGAUGCAGCGACGCCGCGUGAGGGAUGGAGGCCUUCGGGUUGUGAACCUCUUUCGCCAGUGAAGCAGGCCUGCCUCGUUUGUGGGUGGGUUGACGGUAGCUGGAGAAGAAGCGCCGGCUAACUACGUG
rnacentral:rRNA from 1 species